rnacentral:rRNA from 1 species
UACGUAGGGUGCGAGCGUUUGUCCGGAUUUAUUGGGCGUAAAGAGCUCGUAGGCGGUUUGUCGCGUCGGCCGUGAAAUCUCCACGCUUAACGUGGAGCGUGCGGUCGAUACGGGCAGACUUGAGUUCGGUAGGGGAGACUGGAAUUCCUGGUGUAGCGGUGAAAUGCGCAGAUAUCAGGAGGAACACCGGUGGCGAAGGCGGGUCUCUGGGCAGUAACUGACGCUGGAGGAGCGAAAAGCGUGGGGAGCGAACAGG